rnacentral:rRNA from 1 species
AGUGGACGCGAGCAUCUUUGUGGCCAAGUUUUUUAGGGCACACGGUGGAUGCC